UACGAAGGGGGCAAGCGUUGUUCGGAAUUACUGGGCGUAAAGGGCGCGUAGGCGGCGUAACAAGUCACUUGUGAAAUCUCCGGGCUUAACCCGGAGCGGCCAAGUGAUACUGUUGUGCUAGAGUGCAGAAGGGGCAACUGGAAUUCUCGGUGUAGCGGUGAAAUGCGCAGAUAUCAGGAAGAACACCAAUGGCGAAGGCAGCUCUCUGGGACGGUACUGACGCUGAGACGCGAAAGCGUGGGGAGCGAACAGG
rnacentral:rRNA from 1 species